rnacentral:rRNA from 1 species
GCGGCUUAAUAAAAAGUUGGUGGAAGGGGAAGCGGCCCCCACAAUUGGGAAAUUCCAUUUCCCGGAAUGGGGGGUUUAAAGCGCCCAAUUUGGGGGUUUAACACCGGGCCCCAAAUUUCCUUGGGGGGGGCCACCUGUGGGGGAAUUUUUCCCCAAUUGGGCCCAAAGCCUAAAUCAAAAAACCCCCGUUUAGGGGAAUCCCGUUUUUUCGGUUUUUAAACCUUGUUUUUCACAGUGGUGAAUAAGGACCAUAAGUUGAGGGAGAAAGCCACCGGCAAAUUAACGUGCCAACCAACCCCGCGUAAAUAAGUUAGUGGGCCAGGCCUNGUCNNGGAUUUCANUGGGUUUAAAAGGGUGCCGCAGNCGGCCUGUCAAAGUCAGCGGNUGAAAGCCNGGGGGCCCAACCCCCGGAAGUGCCGUUGAUACUGUCGGGCUGGAAUGCCGUACGAGGCGGCNGGAACGUGGCGUGUAGCGGUGAAAUGCGUAGAUAUGCCACAGAACGCCGAUAGCGGAGGCAGCUCGCCAGGCCUGCAUUGACGCUCGGGCACGAAAGCGUGGGGAUCGAACA